rnacentral:misc_RNA from 1 species
CAUGCUUGUUGUCACGUUACCUUUGUGUUACAAUGGUCGUUACGUAAUGUAUUUAAUGCCAGCAUUUUCAUAGACGUGAACGUGAAAAAUUAUCAUUUGAGUUCAACUUCAACGAAGAUAUACCAAUUUGUGCAUAACUAAACUCGUUGUCGUAUCUUACAUUCAACUCUGCAUGUCGACCGGUUUCAAUUCACAUCUUCGAGCUCGUAACACAAAGAUGAACAGCCGUUGUAAAACGUUGACAAGCAGACGUUUCAAGCGUCGAAGUAUCAGCUUUCUGUAUUCAAGAUCAUGGAAAAAGAGAUUGUAUCAUUCUGCGGAGAAACAGCUUUCAAAGAUCAAACUAAGGGACUACCGUCUCAUAUACAACUGGUAGAACAUCCACCACAGCAGAAACCACCAUACCAACUGCUUCUACUACUGCUAAAAUAGCAUCCGCCGCUACCACAGAAUCUAUCACAGCGGAAACCACUAAAUCAACAAAGAACUCUGUGACUACCGUCUCCUAUACCACUACUAGAACAUCCACCACUGCAGAAACCACCACGCCCGCUGAUGUUGACAUCAUCACAACCGAGGACUAUGUGACUACCAUCUCCUAUACCACUACCAGAACAUCCACCACUGCAGAAACCACCACGCCCGCUGAUGUUGACAUUAUGACAACCGAGGACUAUGGAAAACAACAACUCUAUCACUAUGCUGUCUAUGCUCUCGCCGGAAUUGUUUUGGUCUUCCUCAUCAUAAUUGGCGCACUAAUAAGACGGUUAAGACAAGCUGUGAGGACCGGUAGAAACAUUGUUACAGACCAUGAUAUCCCUGUCUCACCUGCUGAACGGCAAGAGCCAGAGUCUGGUCACUAUAUGGAACUCAGGCCUCCUCAAAUGCAGUCACCUGAACCUACGUAUGAGCCAUUGCAAAGCAGAUACUCGACUCAUUAUUACAGCAAUGUAGGAUUUGUGGGGGAAAAAUCAGGGAAUGAUGAUGUUAGAGUUUAUGAAAAUGUUGAGUCAGGUGGUAUCGUCUGAAAUUAAAGUUUAGAUUUUACAUCAAAUUUUCCAACACAAAUUUAAGUGAUCCUACAAUCUUAUUGGUUCGUGGUGUGGGUGAACUUCUCUAAUUUGUCCCAAUAACUAGGAAACAAACGUUAUCUUGAUAUAGUUGGGUGCAAUGUCUUUAUUCGAAAGAAAAAUAAAGGAAAUUGAUGAUGAAGUCAA